GCUGGAAGUGGUGGUGCAUGUCUAUAAUUCCAGACACUUGGAAGGCUGAGGCAGGAGGAUUGAGAGUUCAAAGCCAGCCUCAGCAACUUAACGAGGCCCUGUGCAACUCAGUGAGACCCUGUCUCUA
rnacentral:sRNA from 1 species